AAAAAUUACAUGUAGGAUGUUUCUAAAGCAAAACGGAUAAAAUUACAAUUCUACUAUAUGGAAGAUCUUAAGUUUACUAAUGCGUUAUACUUUUGAAGGGGAUCCACACCCUUGCCGUUCUCACCCCUAACGGAACUUCAACCUGAAGUAUAACAGAAGGUAAUUUUAAAGUAAAGUGAAAAGUAGAGGGGUAAAUUGAAACCUUAUCAUCCUGUUCACUUUGGAGCUCUGUUGAAGGCAAAGACAGAUACAAAGACGACUCGCUUAACGACAAAGGUAUGAAUGACCCCAACGUAUAACUUAAAAUUAAGACAUUUCAUAUAGUAGAGGGAAAAUUUGGACAUUUUUCAAUUUCUAAAACCGCCGAGAGCUGGGAUUACCAGGUCGUAAGGAAUGGUGCUGAGCCAAUCUUUUAACUGUCAUUGCCAUGUACUUGCCCUGGUGCUCGGCCAGCGCCAACUCUGGUUCACUAGGUUCCCUGCUACCAUCUCCAGAGAAAGUUCCUGCUCCAUAUGGAGAACCUCCAAUUAUUGAAUCCAUUCUAAACAUUCCUGCUCCAAACGUGUAUCCUAUUGGAACAUAGAGCAUCCCAUGGUGAGCUAAUUGAGUGACUGCUGUCCAGCUGCGAUAUGAAAAAUGAAACAUUUCAAUAUGGUCCACUGGAUUUCAUUAGCAGAUUGUCGUCGACCAAGCUUUGUCCUUCAAUAAUUGGUUGCAUGAUUAUUAUUGGAAGAAGGAUAUAAGUGGAUCAUCAGAAAGAAGAAAAUAGAACAGAAGAUAAAGGAUAUAGAGAUAGCAUAAGAGUACAACUAUAGUCCUUCAUAGACUAUGUUAGUCUGUGGAUAAAAUGUCCUGUUUAAGGAUUCUGCGACAACACAUACAAGCAAGCUAUUUUCAUAAAAUAACUAAUCACAAUCCAAUUCAUCCAAGAUUUGAAGUUCAUCCAUUAGCAUGAAUGCAUGAUGACUUCCCAAGGUUGCAAAACCAGUAAGAUCAAUAACAAAAGAGACCUAUUAGCCCGAGGAAGUUACUACAAUAAUAACAAUUUUUUUGAAUUAGUAUACCUCUAAAAUGACUUCUGAGCAAAUAUGGUUGGAAUGACAGUAGAUGAUGCACCUAUGGAGUAGUGGCUACAGCUACAGAUCUCUAUCACUAUAAUGGAUAGUUAUCAUAGCAGUCAACCAGUUUGCUAACUGAAAUUUUAUACUGACAAUUGUAAAGUGUUCUUGAUGCCUUAUAUACCUAUUACAAUAAAAUCUGACUGCAAGAUACUUCAAGUCCCUUAGGCCUGUUGGAAAAUCAAAUUUCUUAAAGUACUUAAUUGUUGGAGAUCAAUCAGAAACAGCACUUUUGGGUCUCUAGAGCCUUCGUCCUCAAUGAUUUUUUGCAUAUCAUUGAGAUGACGGGAUUCCUUUAACAUAAUCAGUACCAGUUAAACUGAUCACUAGUUGAAGGCAAUCCUUUGGAUGCUAUGGAGACUACAUACAAUUUUUGUAAGGCUGACGAAAGGAUUUUUCAGACUAGUUACUAGUAUGCACUCUCAUCAAUUAUGUUCUGGACUUAGAUUCUGCUAGUGUUCUCCGUUUCUUCUGUCUCUUCAUUGGCAACUACAACUAGGUGAAGCAAUUAUCUGAAGGGUAUCUAUCAAUUUGCUUACGUAGAACUUUGUCAUAUUUCUACUCUUUUUUGGUUUACAAAUAUGUCACUACACCUUAGUCAUUGUCCAAAUGCAUUAAGAUGUUGCAAUUAUCUCACACACAGUGAUCAGACAUCAUCGAUGACAUAAAAGAAACGAUUAACAGUAUAAACACAAGUAAAUGAAUAACAGAAGACAGACUUACGCGGUGGUCUCCUGCCCACCUCCUUGUGUACCAGUACUGACAAAGAACCCUGCAGGCAAUCCAGCAAGCUUUUGUUCUCUCCACAACUUCCCCGUCGAGUCAAAAAAUGCCUUCAUCUGAGCUGCCAUACAUCCAUAUCUUGUAGGAAAUCCAAACAAGAAUCCAUCAGCUUCCACCAGCUCAUCCACAGAUAUCACUGGAAUCUCAUCAUUUUUUGGGGGGGCUUUCAUUCGUUCCAAAACAUCUGGUGCCAAAAUUUCAGGAACCAUAUACAAAACCCCUUCAACACCUUCAAUACCAUCAACCCCUUUUUUCAGCCUUCUAGCUAAUGUUUCAACAUGUCCAUACAUUGAAUAAAACACAAUGAAUAUUCUCAACUUCUUGGACCCUUCUGCUUCUGACCCUGUUAUAUCAGUUUGACUCACUGGUCUCUCUGCUGGUUCAUUUAUAGGAAACUUGUUCUUGGUUGGCAUACAACCCCCUCCUUUACCCAUUGAGCUGAAUUUAAUCAAGAAAUCCAAAAUUAUCACAACCCUUUAUCUCAAAGUUUUCAACUUUUUCUCCAAGUUGGACUUUUUCCAAAUAGGUUGUGAGCAAUUCUUGAACUGAGAAUUUAAUAGGGAGCUUUAGCUAUUUUAGAUUAUCACAAGCAGAGUUGACCAGAAGUCCUCAACUGUUUUUGGAACUUUCUACUAGAAGCUUCGCUGGCAAGUUCUAAUUUACUGCCAACCUCAAAGUGAAUUCGACGAUUCAAAUGAUUUUGACAGUAUUAUACUGAAGAAACAAAUGUGUCAUAGAUCUGACUGAAGAAAAGAAAUUUCAAUAAGCAAUUUUCUGGAUCUUGAAAUUAUUGCCGUCAGGAAAAGUGGCAGAACACCAUCCAACUUCCCUUGUUUUGUGUUAUUCCGAUUAAGCCCCUUCCUUCUUCUAUACACACUACUUCUUGUCAAAACAGGCCGGCCCAACUCCAAUUUUUCAGAGGUAAGAAAUUUAAUGGACUGGGCUCGUCUUUUUUUUGAAUAAUUUCUCUAUGUUAAUAUAUUUUCAAGUUUUUAAUACUUUUGACAAAUUUAUAUCAAAGUAUAUAGAAUUUAUUAGUUUUAAUAUUUUUAAUCAAAAUUUAAAUAUGCAUAACUAAAAUUCACAAUUUAGAAUUUAUUAAUUUUUGAUGGACUAAAAAUGCUAUUAACCCUUAAAAUAAGUAUGAGAUCAUCAAAAGCUUACGAGAAUGAAGACUUAAAAAGCAAAGCAAAUUAUAAGCUGUUGAAGUACAAUUGCUCCUUCUUAUCUAACUAAGGGUCCGUUUGAUCAUGUGAUAUGUAUGAUCAUGUGGCAAAGUGAACGUGUAUUUAAGUUCAGUUAGUCAAGUAAAUGAGAGUUAUUAAAAUUGACAAUAGUUUGGGGACGAACUAAUAAUUCACCUAACGAUAAAAAUGUACUAAUUUUGAAAAAAUAUAAAUAAAAUGAAAAAAUAAUUUAGUAAAUAAUAAAUUAAUAAAAAUAUACUAACCUAACCUUUAUGUAUACCAAGAAAUAAGAAAAAAAAUACAUAACUUUGUAGAUUACAAAAGAAUUUAAACUAAGUAUAAUAUAAGGUAGUACUAUUUAAAAGCUAUAAAUAUGUAACCUAAAUUAUUAUUAACAAUCAAAUAACAAACUAAAAGGAAAACUGAACAAACAAUUUAAGAUCGCUUACACUGAGAUUUGAUCUUGGUAUGAGAACAGGUAAAUGAACCCAGUAACCACUGAGCCACGCUUCUUGAUUGUAUUUAGUGGAUUCAUUUUAGAUAUACAACUUUACAAUGAAUUUGUACAUAUAAAUAGCAAAAAAUAAAAAAUGACGAAGUGGGUUCAAUUGAACUCUCUUGAACCAAUGUAGGUCUGCCUUGCAUAUAGUGGCAUCUUACCCCGUCUACUCUUCUGAUUUAUUCUUUUUGUCCUAAUUUAUGACCGUGUUUAACUAGAAAAAACAUUUAAAAAUUUUUUUCUUUUAAUAUAUAGUCUAAAUAAGUUAUAAAUAUUUGUAUGCAGGGGCAGACCCGCAUACAAAUAUAACAUUGUAUAUAAAGAUCAAAUUUUGAUUUAAUAAAUAUAUAUACAAGUAUUGACAUCUCUUGACACAAGUUAAAAAUCUAGUCUAAUGGUUAAGGUGUUGUGAAAAUUCCUUGAGGUUGAUCAUCUUAUUGAUGGGUAUAACGAAAAUUUUAAAAUUAAACUAGUAAUUUUCAAUUAAGCUAAAUUAUUUGAUAACCUUUGCACAAUUAACCCAAAAAUAUCACAAGUAAUAAAAUGAAAGAAACGGGAGCAGCUUGCCAAGACCAAAAAUUCCUUGGGAAUUGUAUGCAUAAAAUUAUCAGUGGAUGUAAUUUCAAAUACAAGUUCCCAAUAAUCCAUUGUUGCUAAACAAAAUAAAUCUACCUUUUUCCGUUCCAAGAAACACUACAUCCUCUAUUUUAUAACUUUAAAAGUUAGAGCAUCAAAUACAAAAUCUGCACUUGAUUCUUCAUAAUUCCAGCAGUCUUUGCAGCUACUACUUGUGGUACAGAUAUACCAAGGAGAAGAGGAAGAAACCACCCAUCUAUCAUACAAACAAAACAGAAUCAUACAAAAUAUUCUUGUAGAUGAACAACAACCAAACAAUAUCUUAAAUAGCACUUGCUUUUUAAUAUCCCGUGACAGAAAAGAGGUACGAAAUAAUCCAACAGAUCAGAUCAUAAAAUAAGAAGACAAAACGUUGUCAUCAUAUUGCGUGUAUGUUUCAUUUGACUCCCCCCUCUUAACUCUAAACAUUUUAAGAGGAGGAUCCAACAAAUACUUAACAGACAGUACAUAUUUAAGAAUCUUUAGAUUUUUCUAGGUUUCCAAAUAAAAUCUUGUAAAAUUAAUUUUGUAAUCUAAGACUCCUCAAGAGAUACUUUCACAAUAGGACACCAACUGCAACAAAUUUUCUGUAUCCUCAGUUUCCUGAUAUAACUAAGCAGCAUUUACUACCAUAUCUGUACUUUUUAGGUGUUAAAAGUUUGAUAAAUACCCUCAUUAAAUCAGAUAACAAGACUCCUUAUACUCUAAGUCUCGACAACUUGGGGAGGAAUUGUCUACACAGAAAGAAGGGGUUGGAACUACAUAUAGUACAUUAAAAAUAUGCUGAUGGUAAAUCAAUUGUAAUGUGUAACAAAGAGAUAGAUAGAGAGAGAGAGAAAGAAAGAGUGGGGGAGAGAAGUACCAUAGAGAAGGAUGCUCCAUAAUAAGGAAAAGCAGCUGUUAUAAAUCUCUCAUAUUCAUUAUGUCUGAAGGGUCGAACAGGAAUCUGCAAGUAAAAAGAUUCCCCAUAUUAAUGCAAAUAACUAUAUAAGGUGUCGUCAACCACCUCCUUUAUUAUAUUAUUCAUUAUUGAAUUUCGGAAGAUGACAUAGUUAAGACCAAUUAUAUGCAAAAGUCGUUUUCUUGCACUUCAAAGCUAAAGCAAUAUUAGACUGUCACCAUUAUUUAAAAAAAACAAACUAAAGCAAUAAGGAGAGCACAGGCGUCAAUGGCUUUCAUAAAUAUAUCUCUUAAACGAGUAUCUUUUAUGAACAGCAGGUCACUGAGGAACAACGACUAUAUUCACUGCUUUCAUCCAACAAUGUCUGGGAACUAGAGCAACAAAACAAAUGAUGAAACAAGACAAAGUGCAGAUAUACAACAAAUUUCGUGAUAACUGAAAAAAGAAUGUUUUCAUAAUAAGGUGUGCUGCUUCUACAUAUACAUUUGAGUAAUGACAACAGACUAGCGUGUAUUCUAAAGAGUAUUAGAAGUUAAUUAUCAUGUUGUAAUUUUUAUUUUUUUUAUGACAAGGGAAACCCGCAGCCGCUACCCUUUGGGUACGCACAGGGUAAAACCCCCGCUCCUAUGCACUAGCUCGCAAGCCCGGUGCGACGAGCUCGACCCAGAAGGCAAACCCCUUGCUUUCGCUGGCAAGGGGUUUCGAACUUGAGACCUCAAACAUGGAAGUCCCAAGCCCAAACCACUGGGGUACCCCGAAGGGUUAUCAUGUUGUAAUUCUCUCACCAAAUAAGUGGGAAAGCAAAAGUCCUAGAUAAAUUUGUGUCCAGAAAGUGACUGAUACAGCAUAUAUAUUAGCUCUUCACUACAAAAUCUGUAAAACAUGGAAAUAACCACUGCACCUACCUCUUCUAACAAUUAACCAGCUUAAAGUAUGAUAACAAAUUUUUUAAAGUAAUAGAUGCCUCCAUAAGAGAUGGUGCCUGUAGAUUUCGAAAGAACAUACCUGUUUUGCAAGGCUCAAGCUUGUGACUCCUAAUUUCUCGUACUCAACCUUAAACUGGAAUACUCCAUAAACAUCUGGAACCUUGAAUGAUGUAUAAUAGACACCCUACAGAAAAUGAAAUUAGAAAUAUUAAUCCAAGUGCUAAAACAAUUCCUACCAUAAGUUAAUUCUGGAGCACUUAAAGAGUACCUUCUGAUCGGUUGACAUGGUUUUCAGAACGUACGGGCUCAUCAUGUAAAACUGAACUUGAACAUCAUCUGCAACAUAAGGUUCCCAACUUGUUCCAGACCAUUCAUAAAUCUCAAGAGAAUAUUCCUUGGAUCAAAAUCUCAGUUUCAGUACACAUCCAAAACCAUUAAGUAAACAUAAUAUAAGAUUGAUAGAUUAUUCAAACUUGCAGUGUAGUAGUACCAGAUCAUCAUUGAUUCUGUAUAUAGAAGGUUCAUCUGCCUCCCCAACUUUGUGAUGUCUUACAUUCACAGCCUAUAUAUGAAAGUGUAUAGACAUAAAUUCCCAAUUCACAUAUUGAGAACAGCAAAUAUGGAUAGUGAAAUGCAACCAAUUGAAGUGCAUUUCUUUUAUGACUACAAGAAUGCCCAAAGUAAAAUAUUAAAAUAAAGAAGCAAGUGGAUAUGAAUUAAGAACUUAUAUCUGAUACUGCACCUUGAGAUGGCCUCUUUCAUGGAAGAUCCACUUGCUAAUUUCAGUCACAAACUGCUCAUUACCAGAUUUCUCAUGGCUGUGAUCAUGGGAUAAAUUUAUGGUCAAUCAAGUCAGAAAGCAUAAACAAUACAAAAUUGAGUUGUACUUUACGUGGAAGAGGACAGGAAGAGGCACAAUUAGCUUCAAGAUAUUGCUUCUCUAGCAGCAUUAAGUGAAAACAAAGAAAUUGAGAAAAGAAAUCAAAUCACAUCAAAUUACACAUACUGUUCAAACUAAAAUUGUGUGGAUCCGCAUAAUUGAAAACCUUACAAUACAUUGAAGAGUAUACCAAGUAGAAAACCUUACAAUACAUUCUAGUAAUUACAGCAACGAAAGAACUCCCAACAUCCAACAAAUAUUUUUGGUUAGUGGACUUCUUUCUGGUAGUCAAAACUCAAAACAGGAAAUACAGGUCCAUAUCAGGAUGCCAAUAGUUGAGAAACCUUUUCCCAGGUAAUGGAUACAUUACUGACAUAUCAAUGAUGUUCUUAGCAAGCUUCAGUCUUAGAGAAGUCCAACCAAUACCGAGGCUUUUAAUUUUUGUUUUCUUUUUCAUUUUCUAAGUCAAUUUAUGCUGAGGCUUCCACACACAUCAGACUCAAGGUACUAUCAUGUCAGACAAACAGAAGCAACAGAGUAACUACGAGUGCUUACUUGAUUGUGCUUCCAGCCUUUUGCACCCCAGAUCUGAAGAAUCUGGACAUGAGAAAAAGGCUUCUCAAUUUGAGCAAUUCAGAUUAGAUAUUACUCCAGCUAAAGCCUCAAAAGUUACUUACCGAUUGCUAAACAUGCUUAAGGAUCCCGAUAUAAGAACUCGAGCAUUAUUUCUUGCCUGCAAUUGGAAACAAUUGUCAUUGACCUUUUUAUGGGCGUGUUGUUGAUCUUAUUUUAAACAUCAUUUAAUUGUUCAGCAACAAAAGGAAGGACGGCGAUGGGCCAGGGGUAGCAUUAUGAGGCAACGAUUGUCAGCAAAGUAUGCAGUCUUUACAUAUGAAAAUUGCCACGAUACGUCAUCACCAUAGUGACCAGAUCAAAUAAUUUCAUCUAAAUGUGAUCUAGCUACUGCAAAAGGUAUAACAUCUAUUGCCUAUACCUUUCCAACAACAAUAACAUACCCAAUGUAAGCACAUAGGUGGGAUCUGGGGAGUGUAGAACGUAGACCUUACCCCUACCUCGUGGAGGUAGAGAGGCGUUUCUGCUUACACCUUUCCAUCUUCCCUUUUUCUUUAUUCUUUAAAAAAAGUAAAUUAUGAUUCUUUUUCUGCUUAACUUCUAUGCAAGCAUCCCUGCAUGGCUUCAUUAUCUUAAAAAGCUAAACAGCACCGGUUGAACAACUUUUGAGGUUCAAGGUCAAUAAUCUGAAUGAACGUAGAAAUUUAAGAAAAUGAUUAGGAAUAUUAAUAGGUCACAUAUUAGAUGAACCACCUGCACAACUGAAACAAGACUGAUUGCAGAUCCAGUUAAUGUUGGUGGAGUUGAUAAUUUGGAUUUAGGAUUAGCUGAAUACGCUGAAGGCGAAGCUGAGAGAACUUUCAGCACCUGCAAGCAUGAUGGAUGCACCCUUUGACAUUAAAUAACUAUACAGAAUGUACUUCACACACAUGUAUGUCCAGAAAGAACUUGCAGAAACUUACCAAGCUAUUAGCCGGAUUUACAGAGUGACCAAUCCCCUUGAAGAGUACAGGAGCCUGGAUUUACAUAACAGAAAUAUGUAUUAGAAACAUGCUGCUCCAUCACAGCAGGACUCAAGAGCUGUAUCAUCCGAUACACAAUCAUAUGUCAGUGUAAAAAAUGAAAAAGGUAACUGGGGAAGUUUGUACAUACAAAGUUUAUGACCCAAUGCCAAUAUCAAAAUAACACCAUAAAUGCCUCAAAAAUGCACAUUGUAAAACUCAAAAGGUCUAUGUUAGGAGAUUAUUGAACAGACCAUGUUCAAGUAAGACCACCUCAAAAAUUGCACAUUGUUUUAUGAGGGCUUUGGCCAAAUAGGUUCCUUAUUGCAUCAAUUCGAGCUUGCUUGAUCUAUUCCAUCACGACCUUAUCCUAUUACUGCAUACUCUUUUUUCUGACAUCAUGAUUUGCCUUCAUUGUCAUGAUUCAUGAACUAAUUUUAAUUGAAAAUUUGAGGUUAAAUAUAUACCUGAUAAAUAUAGUGCAUUUGAUUCCAUGUCAAGCUUAAUAAUCAAUACAAGAAAAUAAAAAAAUUUGAAGAUAAAUUCACAAGCCUUUGUUUAUUGGCUUUAAAUAUGGCAAGAGUAGAUAAAGUUCCAUUGGUCUAAUUUGGUACCUCAAGUUAGAUUCUGACUCCUAUUUGAUACACAUAUGAUAAGAUACAGGAGAUCCUGACAGCUGAGAAUCUGCCUCAUUAGCACUUAUGUUGGUACUGUUGAAAGAGAGAAAUAUGAGAGCUUUGAAUUUGAAGGGUAUAGAAUGGCCACAUACAUUUGGGAUAGCCUCUCAAAUUUAGUUUCUCUCAGGUUCACCCUUGAGGUUCUAGUUUAUAUAUAUAGAAGAUUUGGUGUCAUUCACAGUGAAUUAUACUAUGUUAUAGAUUCUCUACUCUUUGGUGAACUGUUGGUUUAUGUGAGAUUUUCCUAUUAUUAUUUAUAAGAGAUAAUGGAAAAAUCUCCGGCAUUAAUCAAUUUCUUCACCUUAGAAUGAGAGUUUCCUAUUAUUAAUCAAUUUAUUUACCUUCUAAAAAAGGAUACUUAUUCUGUAGAGGAUCUAUAAGUAUUAUUGCGAAAAAUGAUGCAGUAGCUCUCAGACACAAUAACCGAGGAAUGGUCUAAAUCAGCAGGACCCCCCUCUCCUACGUCCUCCGGUGAUCCUUCUGAUCACCGGAUUUCAUUUCUCUUUUCUUUUUUUCUUUUCUUUCCCACUGUCCUUGCAGGCGAGUUUCAAAUGGAAGAUAGUAUUUACUUUGCAGCUGGAUUCAAGUCCUACGACAUCACAAGAACACCUGGUACGGCGGGAGCAUGGUACGACUGGACGGAAAGAAAUAGAAAAUCUAUGACGAGAACGACUUUUAAUGAGAAGUCAAUGGAAUGGAUCGUGCAGAUUUUACGGGAGGCAUCAAUGACAAGGGGGAAUAUGGUGAAGAGAUGGAAGAAAAAAGAUGGGUUCUCAGAAGUUUUUUGUUCGAGGAACUACAAUAAAUAUGGGCGCUACAUCAGUUUAAUAAAUGUAAAAGGCAGGAGGAGGGAAGUUAUCAUCAUCCCUGAAUUAAAUUUUAACUCAGGGUGGUUGAGCUUUGCGGAAAAGGUUGGAAGAUUCAUUAAUAGUCGUAGAAAGUUAAUGAAUGGGGGCAAUCACAGGCUGGUGAGCAGAGACAUUCCAUAUGCUACAGUGCUAAGAAGCAUUAAAUGGGCUAAUAAAGAUUCAAAACUUGCUGAAAAAGAGAAGGCAGCUCUAAAAGGGGAUACAAUCUUUAUCAACGAUGAUCCAGAGGAGUACAGUGAAGUGCUAAAGAGAAGUUUGGUGGGUGCAUUUGAACCUAGAGCCGGAGAGACAGUGACCCUGUCAGAAAUCAGGGGAUGGGCUAAUCGACUGUGGAAACAAACACACAGCUUGAACAUCUAACCGGAUUUCAUUUCUCUUUUCUUUUUUUCUUUUCUUUCCCACUGUCCUUGCAGGCGAGUUUCAAAUGGAAGAUAGUAUUUACUUUGCAGCUGGAUUCAAGUCCUACGACAUCACAAGAACACCUGGUACGGCGGGAGCAUGGUACGACUGGACGGAAAGAAAUAGAAAAUCUAUGACGAGAACGACUUUUAAUGAGAAGUCAAUGGAAUGGAUCGUGCAGAUUUUACGGGAGGCAUCAAUGACAAGGGGGAAUAUGGUGAAGAGAUGGAAGAAAAAAGAUGGGUUCUCAGAAGUUUUUUGUUCGAGGAACUACAAUAAAUAUGGGCGCUACAUCAGUUUAAUAAAUGUAAAAGGCAGGAGGAGGGAAGUUAUCAUCAUCCCUGAAUUAAAUUUUAACUCAGGUUGGUUGAGCUUUGCGGAAAAGGUUGGAAGAUUCAUUAAUAGUUGUAGAAAGUUAAUGAAUGGGGGCAAUCACAGGCUGGUGAGCAGAGACAUUCCAUAUGCUACAGUGCUAAGGGAGCAUUAAAUGGGCUAAUAAAGAUUCAAAACUUGCUGAAAAAGAGAAGGCAGCUCUAAAAGGGGAUACAAUCUUUAUCAACGAUGAUCCAGAGGAGUACAGUGAAGUGCUAAAGAGAAGUUUGGUGGGUGCAUUUGAAGUUUUGAACCUAGAGCCGGAGAGACAGUGACCCUGUCAGAAAUCAGGGGAUGGGCUAAUCGACUGUGGAAACAAACACACAGCUUGAACAUCUAUGAAAUGGGGAAUGGACUCUUUCUAUUUGAGUUUGCACUUAGGGUCACAGCAGAGCAAGUGAUCGAAGGGGAUUGGGAGUGGAGGAAUAGUCCAGUUAUCCUUCAAUGGUGGAAUCCAACAAUAGGUACGAGAUGCGGAAGGAGUAAAGAAAAUUCAACUUGGGUAAAAAUUGUAGGGUUGCCUUUGCAUUUUUGGGAUCAGAAAAUUUUCAAGGUCAUCGGAGAUUUCUGCGGGGGGUGGGUAGAGACGGAAGAGGAAACCCAAUUGAGGAAUCAUCUCAAAUGGGCAAGAAUCAGAAUCAAAGGAGAUGGAGCAGACAUACCCAAAGAAGUGACCAUCGACGGGGGCGGAAUAUGCUACACGAUGCAAAUUUGGGCAGAAUCGCCGGUAAGAGUAUUUGCCGGAGAAGACCUGAACUCCGAGAUCAGUACCCAGCGGUCACGAGGUGGAAAACCAUUGGGUAAAGGUGAGGCUCCUCUGCAAAGUCAAAAAGUAACUGCUACAGCAGGCAGAGCACAUGUUGUGUCAGAGGCAGGUGGGCAGUCCUCCAAGUCAAACAAAAUAGUGGGCCGGGGCGAGCCCAACUCAAAACAAAGCCCAAUUCUAAGAUUGGGGCCAGAACAAAAUAAAGAGGGGGGCCUGGUCAAUAAAAAGUUUGACCUGGCAAGUGAAAAGUGAAAAUCAGGGGGAAUUUCUAGAAGGGUUAAGUGGCAUCAAGGAAUUAGCGAUGCAGUUCUUACAGGCUUACAACAAAUGGGAAACCUCGAGUAUGGUGGAAAACACCGACAUCUCAGCUAAAAACAGAGAGCCGGUAAACAAGACGAAAGAGGCUGUUGAACUACUAUGCAACAAAGCAAAGGGUAUUGAUCAUUCUAAGGAUUUUGGGGAGAUUUCAGGGGUACAAGAACUAGUGGAAGGAGGCAUGCAAAUUCAACAGAUUCACGAUGCGGAGCCGGUUUCCAUACAAAACCCUGGGUACCAUACAGACAGCGAGUUUGAAGCAUCCAGUUGGAUAAAGUCACAUAUUUUGGAGCUCAGUAAAACUUAUGGAGUGGCAUUCGAAGGUUUCAGGGAAGAAACACAUGCAUUACUAAUGAAGCUCGAUGAAAGAAAGAGUGUGAUGGAAAAGAAAGGGGCAAACAGUGCAGUGUCAACACCUCGUCACAGAGGAAUUGGCAAGAAUGAGUUGAAGAACUUACAGUCAGAUCUGAACGAGGAGGUCGAAGGUGCAAGGAACAGAGGGAGAGUCCUAUCACUAACUCUUAAAUGAAAGUAAAUAUUUUAUCAUGGAACGUCAGGGGGAUUAACAAGAUUUCAGCAAGGAAUCUGGUUAAGAGCUCUCUUCUAAAAUGGAGAGCUGAUGUUUAUUGCCUUCAGGAGACAAAAAUCAAUAAAGAUGUAGAGGGGAUAGCCAAACAAUUGUGGUCUAGUAGAUGGAUGAAAUGUGGGUAUUCUGAAGCUGAUGGUAGUAGUGGGGGGAUACUAAUUAUGUGGGACUCAAGAGUAUGGACGGGUAGUUGUGUGGAGGAAGGCAAAUACUCAAUCACUUACAAAUUUGAAGCUGUCCACGAUGGUUUUUGUUGGUUUCUUACUGGCGUAUAUGCUCCACACACCAGAGCUGAGAAACUGGAGUGCUGGGAAGAAAUUGCAGCAGUUAGGGAGCUAUGUGGAGGCCCCUGGGUCACCUGUGGGGACUUCAACACUGUCAGAACAAUGGCAGAAAGGAGAGGAUGCAGAAGAAUAACCAAUGUAAUGGCUGAUUUCUCGAGUUGGAUAGAGGAUAUGGAGUUACAUGACCCUCAUCUAAAUGGUGGGACCUUUACCUGGUACAGAGGGGCUGGCCACGACAGUGCUGCGAGACUGGACAGGUUUCUCUAUUCAAUUGAGUGGGAAGUACAAUUCAGAAACAUAAGGCAACAAAUUAUGCCUAGAGUUAUAUCUGAUCACAAUCCAGUUAUGCUACAAUGUGGUGAUUGGGAACAGAGGAAGACAUACUUCAAAUUUGAGAACUGGUGGUUUAAUGUAGAAGGUUUCAAAGAUCUAGUCCAGAACUGGUGGAAUGGUUUUAUUGUGGACGGAUGCCCAGAUUUCAAAUUCAGUAUGAAGCUAAAGAUGCUAAAACAGAAACUUAAAGAUUGGAGCAGUGUAACUUUCGGGGAACUUAACAAUAAGAAGAACAGCUUGUUAAGUGAGCUAGCUGAGAUGGAUCUGAUCCAGAAUGAUAGGGUGCUGACAGAGGAUGAGAUGAUGAUUAGAGCAACAGUUCUAGUCGAGUUAGAAGAAUUAGCGAAGAAUGAAGAAUCCAGGUGGAGACAGAAGUCCAGAGUGUUGUGGUUGAAACAAGGUGAUAAUAAUACCAAGUUCUUUCAAAGAGUAGCAACAGCUCAUAGGAGAUGCAACACCAUCGACAGGCUGAUUAUCAAUGGGGAGGAGAAUAAAGAUCCAAAAGAAAUCAAAGAUCAUAUAACAGAGUUCUACAAGCAGCUAUACACUGAAUCAGAAAGUUGGAGGCCAUCAUUUGUGAUGACAAAUUGCCCAAGAAUAAGCCAAGAGGAGCAGGAAUGGAUGCAGAGACCAUUUUCAGAAGAGGAAGUGGUACACAUUCUCAAAUUGUGCGAUGGAGACAAAGCCCCUGGUCCAGAUGGUUUUACUAUGCUUUUUUUCAAGGAGUGUUGGGGGAUCAUAAAGAGCGAUGCGAUGCAAACAAUCCACAAUUUCCAUCAGAAUGAAGUGUUUGAAAGAUCCUUGAAUGCCACUUUUGUGGUAUUAAUCCCCAAGAAGCUCGGAGCUGCGGAACUCAAGGAUUUUAGGCCAAUAAGUUUGAUUGGUGGAAUGUACAAAAUCAUCGCUAAGCUGAUCACCGAGAGAAUGAAAACAGUGAUGGGGAGACUGAUUGAUGAGCACCAAAUGGCUUUUUUGAAGGACAGACAGAUAAUGGAUGCCUCUUUAUUGGCAAAUGAGUUGGUGGACUCCAGGGAAAAAACAAAAGAUACCAGGUAUCCUAUGCAAAUUGGAUAUAGAGAAGGCAUAUGAUCAUGUCAACUGGAACUACCUCUGGAAAGUUCUGAGUGAAAUGGGGUUUGGGAGGAAAUGGGUGAAUUGGAUCAAGUUUUGCGUAUCAACAGUGAAGUUCUCAAUCAUUAUAAAUGGGAGUCCUGAAGGUUUUUUUCAAUCACAAAGGGGAUUGAGACAAGGAGAUCCCAUGUCUCCUUUCUUAUUUCUCCUAGCAAUGGAGGGACUCAACUACAUGGUCAGAAAGGCUAAUGAAAUGGGGUGGAUAAGAGGUUUUGGUGCACACACAAACAGAGCCAAUAAUAUGGAGGUCACACACCUUCUCUAUGCGGACGACUCUUUAGUGUUUUGUGGUGCAGAAGUGUCGCAAAUUAGACAUUUGAGGGCAAUACUAACCAUUUUUGAAGGCAUAUCAGGACUACAUGUGAACUGGCAGAAGAGUUGUUUGUUCCCAGUUAAUCAAGUAAAUGACAUGCAAGGCCUUGCCGACAACCUGGGCUGCCAAGUAGCUUCUCUUCCCACCAAAUACCUGGGGAUGCCCUUGGGCGCCAAGAACAAAAAAUUGGAAGUAUGGAGUGAAGUUCUGGAGAGAAGUGAAAGGAAGCUGACAAGGUGGAAGAGUCAAUAUAUAUCCCUGGGAGGUAGAUUGACUCUCAUAAAAUCAGUUCUGGAUGCACUUCCGACUUAUAUGCUAAGUCUUUUCCCACUACCAAAAAGUAUUGGAAAGAAACUCAACAAGCUGAGAAGGGUCUUCCUCUGGCAAGGAAAUAAAGAGAAGCAAGGAUACAACCUGGUUAAAUGGGAAGAGGUGACAAUGAGCAAAGCACAAGGAGGUCUGGGCAUUAAGAAAUUGAGUACUCAGAACACCAGCCUGCUGCAAAAAUGGUUGUGGAGAUUCUGUUGUGAAGAUAUGGCAUUAUGGAGGAGGUUUAUUGCAGAGAAAUAUGACCUACAAAGCAACUGGAUAACUGAAGAGGUGAAUGGCACUUUUGGGUGCUCUGUAUGGAAAACCAUCAGGAGAAUGUGGCCUGAUUUCAGUGCAAAGGUGACCUUCAGAGUGGGGAAUGGUUUGAAGACCAGUUUCUGGAACGAGACCUGGUUAGGUGACGUAAAUCUGAGGAUACUUUUUCCCGAUCUGUACAUUAUCAGUCUACAGCAGAAUGACACUAUAGCGCAAAUGUGGACCCCUCAAGGUUGGGACCUUAUGUUCAGAAGGGCUCUAAAUGAUUGGGAGGUUGGAAGAGUAGCAGACCUACUGCAUGCUUUAAACUUGUUUCCAGGCACUGUCACAGAGCCGGACAAACCAGUCUGGAAACUGCAUAGCAGAGGGGUUUUUACAGUUAAAUCAUGCUAUUGGGAGAGGAAUACCAAUCAUCUCCUGACAACAGUUUGGCCUUGGAAAUUAAUCUGGAAAAUUAAGGUUCCUUUAAAAGUUGCAUGUUUCACUUGGUUGGUAAUUUAGAAGAGCUUGUCUCACCCAUGAAGUGCUACAAAGAGAGGUAUACAGAUCUGUUCAAAGUGCUACAUGUGCGGACAGAAGGCUGAAGUAAAUGGUCAUGUGUUUUUAGCAUUGCAAGAUAGCUACAGAUCUGUGGAACAUGUUCGUUUGUAUACUCAGGGUUAACUGGACAAUGCCCAGAACCACUUUUGAGGUCCAAACACACUGGCAAGGAAUCGGAAAGAGAGGAUCAAAAGAAGAUUGGUGGAAAAAUAUCCCUGCUUGCAUAUGGUGGACACUAUGGAAGGAAAGGAAUGGGAGAUGUUUUGAAGGAAGGGUUAGCAGCCUAGAGGAGAUCAAGAUGAAAUGCCUUAGUCUUUUGUAUUUUUGGUGUAAGCAAAAUUUAGUGGGGGAAGUAGAUAGCCUUGUGGAGUUUAAAAGCCAAUUGUAAAGUUAGUUUUGUCUUUUUGGAUUUGAGUAUGAUGGCACCCCCUGGGGGUUUGUAAAUCCCACCUCAUCGAUUUUGAUGAGGUCUUUUGUGUGAAUACAAAGUUACCUAUUUCAAAAAAAAAAGGAUACUUGACGAUCCUUGUAUUAUUUACAAAAGCAGCUACCUCAAAAAGAGAGCACAAUAGAGCUUACAAUGAGCAUGAAGAAAUUACUGUAUACUUAUUGAUCGUUUCAGUUGCUACACCAUAUCGGUUACUCAAGAUCAUUGGUCUUUAUCCGGACUUUAUAAAGAGAAGGUGGACACUCUGAGGGAGUUUAACUUCAGUUUCCUCCCUUCCCCAUCCCUAUCCCAUAGACAGAUCAAUAAAGAACCUUCUUGGCUUCUUCUAUGUGUACUAAUAAUGAUCUGGUUCCAGAUCCUUCCUCAGAACUUCCCUGAAGAAUUUUGAACUUGUAUCUCUAAUUGAAGGUCUAGUAUAAGUUUAUUCAUGUGGCUAAGCACUCUACCGCUUGAAUAAUAAUCUGUUCCUUUAUUAUCAGCAAAAUAGAGCACCCUUGUUCAAGAAUAAUAGACUGAACGAGAGUGGUAUACAGCUAAAGAAUACUCAAAUUGUGGUACUUUCUGCAAUUUGAGUCACUAUUUUAAUGACUUCCCUAUGUGGAUUAGCAUAUAUACAAGCUACAACAAACAAUUGCAAGGAUACAAUCCAACGAACAUGGCAAAUACACAAAUGAACAAAAAGAACAAGAGAAACAAUUGCAAAAUGCUAAGUGCCACAUAAGAUGUGCUAGGGAAGUAAAAAGCCUAAACAAUAAAGGUUUCUAAAAUCUUUAAGAAAUUAGUGAGUGAAAUGACAGUGGUUGGUUAAAUGUAUCAGCUUUAUAGAGUUUUCACAGCUUAUUAGUGUAGAUACGAUUCCAAAAUGGGAGGUUGAAAGCAAAAAAUUAAUGGAUAGCUACCCAUGUUGGGAGGAAGAAACAACUCUUUUGCAAUGCAAACAAACAUUGCUACAUGUUGAGAGAGUUUAGGCCAUUCUCUUGUGGGACAGGACAAUCCAAUUGAUCUCUAAAAUUGCUACAUGUUAUGAAAUAUCAGUAUUUCUACAAAAGGCAUCAACAGAAUACAUUGAUAAAUAAGUUAAAAAAUCCUUUUUAUAGGCGAUAGCUCCAGAAAGACAAACUGCUAAUUAUUUCUUUCAAUCUUAAGGGAAAGAUGAUCACAACAAACUCGUUCAAACCUUUCCAGUUAAAUUAUAGAUAUAGCAUCUUCAUAAGAGAUCACACUGUUUGGAUGGUUCGACACGUUUGAUGUUAGUUCUUCCCCACUUGGGCAUGUGGUAUGUUCCUACAGUUGGCCAUCAGCCCUUAAGAGCGGUAUGCGAAUUGGGUUCUAGGGUCUAUUGUUGAUCUCUCGUAUUUACAGACCCCCGCCCAAAAAAAAAAUGGGAAUGGAGGGCCACACUUAUGUGCUAAUAUUUUAUGAUCACGUUGAUUCCAUGAUUAAAUAGAAGAGUAGACUCAAAAAUCAUGAUAAUUAUAGAUGAAAUAUAGUGCUUUACCUUGAUCUUUUCUUUGCCCAAGAUUACAUCAGAUUGAAUGAAAUCAUCACCAGCAAUUAAGGUAUGGUCCCCUUCUGUAUCUGAAACUGCAAAGCUUGUAUGAUCAAUGACCAUAGCUGACUGAUCCUAUUAUGUAGAACAUAAAGAGUAGAAAAACAUUAGUCAGCAUGUCAUGCUUAACUUUAGAGGAGUAUGAGUAUACUUAUCACAAAGAUGCAAUCACCCAUAAGAAUGAAAGUGAUUGAUAGGGGUUCAGAAAAUCAAAAAAAUUAUGUUCAUCAUUUGCUUUUAGAACAUCGAUCCAAAUUAGCAACAUCAUUAGUAGCCAAAGAAAAUCCCAUUGAAUUCACUUCACCACAGUAAAAAUGUUAAGCAAAGGGUUUCUGUAUGCAAUAUGAAUCAUUCACUUAAAACACAAGUCUUUUUAGUAUGAAAUGGGCAUAAUAGGUAAAGUUGUGUGAUUGAUUGAAUAAAAAUACAAGUAACAGAAACGUUUUCUGAUACCUCAUCAAAAUCAACCCCACACUCAGUAGCAAUCUCUCUAAUUAGAUCAGAUGCAGAUGCAUCAGCCGCAAGGAUCAAAUCAUGGCCAGAAUCAACAAAGUCCAGAAUAGCUGCCGCAUUAAGAGAUCCACCUAAACCUUAAAAAAAAAAAGGAACGACAUUAUUAAUCUACCUAAAACACCCAAAAAAUUAACCCAUUUCGAUCUAUCCCUUCGCAUCGGGUUCACUGGAAACCACUGCAUUCAGCUCGGAUCUAUACACAUAUGUAACAUAAAGAAAUCUGGCAUGGAGACUUACUAUCAAUGGUAGGUGAGAAGAGAAUUAAGGCGUCAUAUAAAUACUGUCCGUAUCUCUGUAACGCGAUCUUGGGAUCAUCGGCGAGUUUGAAAUCAAGAUCGAAACCACGGGUUUGUAGAGACUGGAAGUAGAGAGAAUGUGAAGAUUUGAUGGAUAAAUCAUCGAGCAAAACCAAGAUUUUCCGAUCUGUUGGGUUUUCAGGGGAAAAUGCAUUGCCAAGAACCGCAAGAAGAAGGAAACUGAGGAUUACUGGCGCUCGAGACAUGUUGAAAAUGCUCGCAAGCCACUAGGGUUUAGCGAGAUUUGAAGCUUAAAGAUCCCUUCACUCCACUUCAGAGUUGACGAGAGUUUUUCAGUCUUCGACCAAGUGAUAAGUAUAAGUUUACAGUUCAGGUAAAACGGAAGGUAAUUGCAUCCACAAUUAAUUAUGGUUAAUCACUCAACUUUCGCUUUAUUGCACCAAAGUCACAAAACUAUUUUUUGGUAAAGAAAAACUCACUCGAUUUUUUUAUAGACGCAGUUUUACCCCAAUUUUUUUUAAUGUAAAAGUUUCGUUUUAAAGUUUAGACCUCGGGCAUCGACUAAAAACAAUAUGUACAAUAUAGUAGCGAAAAAGUCAUGUCAGAUACAAUGAAGAACAGUAACAAUGAUAAAUAAUAAGAUAAUUAAAAUAGGAAAAGUGUAAUAAUAACAAUACUAAAAAAGGAACUAGACAACUCUCGGCCUACUAAUCUUCUAUCUUAAUUCUCUAUCUAUCGAUUUUUCUAUAUAGAAUUGUGCUAUUGGUAAGCUACAGGCGAGGCAUGUCUUAUCUAAUCAGCUCUUCCUAGGACUUUUUCGGCUUACCUCUAUCACUCGUUAAACCCACUAUAACCCGUGUCUCACACCUGUGAACAUCUGUGAAUUAUUUCUUCAUAUGAUCGAAUAAUCUAAGCCUCGUCCUCAUUUUGUUCUCACCAAACUAAGGACCUGAACUGAAUGGAAUUUCAUAGCAGCUUGAGGCUGUUCCUGAUGCUGGACUUCGUGGGUCGUUGGCUCCACCUGUUAUCUCCUUCUACGACGCCUGCCACCAGGCCAUACCCGCAAUUACACCAUACCGUCCACUUCGUUUCGUUCUUCUUCUGUACCGUCGCUUGAAUCCUGCUAGUUUGGUUGCACUUGGGCUUAACAGCUGCUUCAAAGCCAACGUGAUGCUCCUUGGUCAGCCAUAAACGGAAUCUUAAGAAGCAGUCAUUCGUUUAUGGGAGCGACUCUCUGAGGAUGAAACAAAAGAGACAUGACAUUAAUCAUAAUAUUGUUUCUCUCAUAUUUAGGCAAUUUUAUGUGACUUUUUAAUCAAAUAAAAUUUAUUUAUUAGUGACUUUUAAUGAUAUUUACGCAAAGUUAAGUGGCUUUUUUUGUAUAAAAUGUAGUUUAGUAGCUUUAGUUCAAUAAAAUAAAUUUGGGUUGAUCGCCAAUGAAAUUAGACUCAAUUAAUGAGUGUUACCAUCACGAAUAGAGGUAGAAGUCCAAAUAUAAAUUCAGCGUAUUUUAAUAUUAUUUGUUCAAACUAUGUAUUUGUGUUAAAAAAAAUCACUAAAUAUGAAGUUUAAUUAUUAGUAUUUGAAAUUGACGUUCAAAGCGAAAUCAAUGUGCUUAUCUAAAUGCUUUAUUUUCUCCGGAUCACAAAAGACUCCUCAAAACAAGAGAGGCCAAAACAUAUAGAAAAUGGAACACAAAUCAUAGUUUAUACUUCAUAGUACAUCAAAUUCCAUCAUCCCCUCCCCUAAUCCAUUGUAAAAUCUAAAAUCAAAUUAAUAAAUGAAAAAAAAAAACAUUACCUUCUAAGUUCUAAGGGCACACAAAUUUUGAUACAUUCAGUUUAGGAAAUGUUUUUAGGAAUGGACAAAAAUUACAUGUAGGGUAUUUCUAAACCAAAAAGGGUAAAAUUACAAUUCUACUAAAUGAAAGGUCUUGAGUUUACUAAUGUGUUAUACUUUUAAAGGGCAUCCACACCCUUGCCGUUCUCGCCCCUAACGGAACUCCAACCUGAAGUAUAACAGAAGGUAAUUUUAAAGUAUAGUGAAAAGUAGAGGGGUAAAUUGAAUCCUUAUCAUCCGGUUCACUUUGGAGCUCUGUUAAAGGCAAAGACAGAUACAAAGACGAUUUCUUAACGACAAAGGUAUGAAUGGCCCCAAAGUAUAACUUAAAAUUAAGAC
rnacentral:lncRNA from 1 species